GGACGAACGCUGGCGGCGUGCCUAAUACAUGCAAGUAGAACGCUGAAGGAAGGAGCUUGCUCUUUCCGGAUGAGUUGCGAACGGGUGAGUAACGCGUAGGUAACCUGCCUGGUAGCGGGGGAUAACUAUUGGAAACGAUAGCUAAUACCGCAUAACAGUAGAUAUCGCAUGAUAGCUGCUUGAAAGGUGCAAUUGCACCACUACCAGAUGGACCUGCGUUGUAUUAGCUAGUUGGUGAGGUAACGGCUCACCAAGGCAACGAUACAUAGCCGACCUGAGAGGGUGAUCGGCCACACUGGGACUGAGACACGGCCCAGACUCCUACGGGAGGCAGCAGUAGGGAAUCUUCGGCAAUGGACGGAAGUCUGACCGAGCAACGCCGCGUGAGUGAAGAAGGUUUUCGGAUCGUAAAGCUCUGUUGUAAGAGAAGAACGAGUGUGAGAGUGGAAAGUUCACACUGUGACGGUAUCUUACCAGAAAGGGACGGCUAACUAC
rnacentral:rRNA from 1 species